rnacentral:rRNA from 1 species
UACGGGGGGAGCAAGCGUUGUUCGGAUUUACUGGGCGUAAAGGGCGCGUAGGCGGUCGUGACAAGUCACUUGUGAAAUCUCCGGGCUUAACUCGGAACGGUCAAGUGAUACUGUCGGACUAGAGUACAGAAGGGGCAACUGGAAUUCUCGGUGUAGCGGUGAAAUGCGUAGAUAGUCGAGAGGAACACCUGCGGCGAAGGCGGGUUGCUGGGCUGAUACUGACGCUGAGGAGCGAAAGCGUGGGGAGCGAACAGG